GCUAAGGUGGCAGAGUCCGGUAAUUGCAGAAGGCCUAAGAUCUUCCUACCAGGGGUUCAAAUCCCCUCCUUCAGCU
rnacentral:tRNA from 1 species